AGUGAACGCUGGCGGUAGCCUAACACAUGCAAGUCGAACGGCAGCACAGUAAGAGCUUGCUCUUACGGGUGGCGAGUGGCGGACGGGUGAGGAAUACAUCGGAAUCUACUUUUUCGUGGGGGAUAACGUAGGGAAACUUACGCUAAUACCGCAUACGACCUACGGGGGAAAGCAGGGGAUCUUCGGACCUUGCGCGAUUGAAUGAGCCGAUGUCGGAUUAGCUAGUUGGCGGGGUAAAGGCCCACCAAGGCGACGAUCCGUAGCUGGUCUGAGAGGAUGAUCAGCCACACUGGAACUGAGACACGGUCCAGACUCCUACGGGAGGCAGCAGUGGGGAAUAUUGGACAAUGGGCGCAAGCCUGAUCCAGCCAUACCGCGUGGGUGAAGAAGGCCUUCGGGUUGUAAAGCCCUUUUGUUGGGAAAGAAAAGCAGCAGGUUAAUACCCCGCUGUUCUGACGGUACCCAAAGAAUAAGCACCGGCUAACUUCGUG
rnacentral:rRNA from 1 species